CCUCACACCCAGAGAAGAGGGGAAGCUUAGGGCAGGCAUGUGAUCUGCUUCCCAGAUUUUCCAAAUUUUCCAUUCAUUUCUGCAACUUUGUCUUGAACCCACUUAGACUUUGCCUCUCUGCUCUUUGGAUGUAGGAUUUUCGUCAUGUGCCAUAAAACAAUUUCCACCAACCAAAGACGAAUUUUGCAGUGGGCAGGAUCUGAUGAAAAGCUUUGUCCCUCAGGGAUAAUGGCAGAACUGAAGAGUACCAUAUCAAUAUCUUGAUUUGAUAAUACCAGAGCACAAUUCCAGCCAGACAGUGACGGUGUAAAUGUGAUUGUGUCUCUUGCUAUCAAAGCUGAGCUCAAUUUCAGUUUCCAGAGCUCUCCCUGACCAGCAGGGAACAGCAGAACCAUCAUUAAAGGAUGUUCCAGGCUUGUUCUCAACCCAUCACAGACAGGCAGUGACAUCUGGGAUCUUACAUGGAAAAACUUCAGCUACAAAUUGGUUCAGUCUCCUAUUCUAAGUUCAGUGUCAUCACUGUGGGACACUCCUUGGAAGAGGUACUGAGGGUUUACUGCACCAGAG